CAUUUGUCUUCCACACAAAAUCAUACAAAAUGUUCUCUUUAUUAAAUAUACAUUAUUUACAGUUUGUCUUUCUUCUGUACAACAAUAACCAUAGAAAACAAAGAAAUCUAAGGCUAACUUUUAUUUUUUCCCCAUACAGUGUAUUAAGACAUGUUACAUGGUCUACAAAACUGACUUGGAAUGAGGCAACAUCACUUGGGAUUUUAUUUUAGGAACAAAAAUCAGAAGAUAAAAAGGAAAAGGUAGACUCCAGCAUUUCCACAAAAAGAUGACCUGUUUUGUGCUUUUACCAUAAUAAAGAGUCUGACAUAUGUGUAUUUUUGUGGGGAGGGUAUUCUGCAAUUUAUUACUUGUUGAAAUACCCUCCCCACUCUUUCUCAUUCCCUGAAAAGGAGGGCCUGAACAUGCCAUAGGAAGACUUACUUCCCAUCUGAAACAGACACUGUAAUGCUCUAUCUUAGGAAUCAGCAAACCGUAACCUAUGAACUAAAUUAGAUUUUGUAAAUAAAGUUAUAUUGGAACAUGGCCAUGGGUAUUCAUUUAUACAUGGCUGCCUUUCUGCCCUAGGCUAGUGACUAAGGAAAAUGUUAGUCCAAGGCAACACAGGAUAUCAGGAGGCCUGUCAACUGCCAGAUUCAGAAAGAGAAAAUUCUUGGUCUUUGUCCUCACUAAAGGCAGUCUCUUUCUCAAUGUAACUAUGCUGCUUUAAGCAAAGUUUGGUAUUUUUUGCAACAGUAUUUAAGGCAGGACAAGGUUACACAGGUUGAUACUACCUUUCAAAGAGAAUAGACUAGGUGAAUAUUUCAUGUAAAAUGUUUGUGAUAGAGGCUGACUCUGAUGGGAAAGUAUGCCCAGGCUGAUGCCCGUUAAUAUUUUCCCUUCAAGGUUUCUUGAAAGAGAAAGCCUUUCAAAGAGUCUGUAGAGGAAUGCAUUAUUCCUGUUUCAUAUCCAGCACUUUGUUCACGUUCUCUGAAGAUAUUUCUGGCAUCUGAAGCAUGUAAGACUAUGACACUCGUUAAAAUAAGACCAGGCGUUAAUCACUAACACAAUUAUCUUCACCUUUGGUCUUGGCUUGGGACUAAUCUCCUAAUUUUGUCCUAUUUUAUAAAGGGUUUCCUUGUGUCAACUGGAAGGACUGAGAAAAAAUAGUGUUCCCAGAUGGUGUUAGAUGGUAGGUCCCUGGCGGUACUCGUUGUCAGGGCUGGGACACUACACUCCUUCUUACAGUUAUGUUAUGCUUAUUCAUGUCAGGAUGAAUGGAAGGAAAAGAAAGACACUGGAUGGAUUCCAGAAUCUGAGGACUUCCACUCACAGGGGCUCUGAUUGAUAAUAGACCUAGGGCAGUUUUCUGACAGUUUCAUUUCCUGAAAGUUGCAUCUGGGUGCUUAACCUGGGCAGGUUAGAUAAUUAUAAUAAUAGUUCUAAAGCACUCUGAGAAAAUCCUGAAAAAAAAUUUAAAAAUUGAAAAAAAAGAAUGUGACUGAAGAAGUGUUGGAAGGUAAAAAAAAUCAUGCAAAUGUGAGUAAAGAAUUAUUCAUGCAAAGCCCAUGAUAUUGCCUCUUUCCCUAAUGAGUAAGACAAUGAUCCAAAUGCACUAAAGAGACUCCUGAGUGAGGAGCCAUGAAAGUGGAAAGGCUGCCACCACUGAUUCAUGGUGGAAGCAAUUUCCUUCCUCACCUCAGAUGGCCACCAAUUACUGCCACUGGCCCCUCUUCCUCCUCGUCAAGUUCGCAGCAGGUGUGGUUGAAACCAAAACCAACUUUUGCAUUAACCUUUGUUCAUGUCUGCUCAGCCAUUUUGUAGACUAUAAACAUUACAUAAGACAGACAUCUAGCUUACAAAGUACAAUAUUUCACUAGAAAAUGUGCUUUUCUGUUCUUCCUCAGAGUACCUUAGUGCAAAAUAAGAUAAAAUAAUCACUGAAAAAUAGCAAACCGGUUAAUUAUUAAAACCUUAUAUGAAGGAUUCAAAUAAUUGUCAACAUAAAAGAGGAAUGCUUCUCUCCCUACCAAACAGAUAUGUAUGUAGAAUGUUCAAGAGAAAAGUUGAAUAACAGCCCUAUUUGUACAAAGUGUGCAUGUGAGCGUGCGUGUGUGUGUUGCAUUUUUUCCCCUUUAGGUGGUUCAAAUUUGGAAUUUGUGAAGGCAGAGCUGAUAAUUAGAGACAAUAAAAAUCUGCAGAGUAGAUGGUUCCACAAACAAGACUAUGAAAGAGGGGAUAAAAGAAGAGGUCAAGAAAGACUCAAGAACAGUAUAUAGAAAUAAUUCAAUUACAUUAUGUGUAUUUUAAAGAAAACAUGUUCAAACUGCAUGAGACAGAAAAUAGCACUCAGUUAUCCUCCUAGACUUCUGAAAGUUUUGAGUUUGUCUGCAUCUUCUUCCAUUAAUCGCCUUUGCCAUCUUCAGAAACAAUGAAGUCAGUUUAUUUAUUUAGUCGAUACAUGACCUGUAGGAUAAUUGAGGACUAAGUAUGUCCAAGCCUUUUCAUUAAGGAAGAAUGACUGGCAGAACCAUACAGGUAUCCCAAAGGCCUUUUGGUAGGCUACAGCUGCAAUGAGGUUUUGAUGGAUGGUAGCUAUGGGGAAGCUUAAAGGAAGCUAGGGCAGUUGGUGAACAGUCUGUCAAGACCUUUCCUUUCCUAAGAAAAAAUUCAACAGGUCUCAUCCUCAUCUCCCUGGAUAUCUUGGACUGGAUAAGUUGGCUGUGCUUGCACCCUCCCAGUGCAACUCUUCUAACUGAAUUAACUUCCUGCAGAGAGGGAGCAAGUAUGACCUUCAAGACAGGAAACACUCACUCAGGCUCAGAGGUGAGACCUCACAUAAAUGGACAACAUUUUUUUAGUCAAUUACUGAUGGAAGGGUAGACUUCAGUUAGGUUCAGAAAUGUUAUGUAGAGUCAAAAUGGCUCAUCAGGACUAAGGAGGGUUUUAGGAAGAGCUGGAUGACAACCAAACCACCUUCAGGAACAUCUGGAAGAACAACGGCAUGCAAUAGGUCAUAAACACAUGGCUGUGGAAGAACUGAGAAAAGGGAAGGAGAGGGGCCAAAGUGGACACUCUUAGGUCCAACUCAUGGGAGGCAAGACUUUUGGAAUCCCCCAACCUGACCCGAAACAAGAAUGUAGAGAAUUCAGCCUCCUCAAAUGUAUGGCAGAGACAGAGACCAUCUAUUCUUACUGUUCCUAAAAGUCAAUCCACCCCUUUCUACAGAAAUCUAUAUGCAUUGAUAGAUAUCUACUUUGAGGAGGAGAAACAAAACAGCUUACAGAAGGUGGAAGCAGUAAUUUAAAAAAUAACAGAUAUUUCCCAGAAAUUUACAUUUCUUUCAGUCUGGCAGAUGCUUCACAAAAAUAAUUGUGCGGGACCUUGUGCUGCAUUCUAGGACACUUUAUGUGUGGCCCUGUUGCAACAAUACAUGCCUUGCCAGCUAGACUUUGAGCUCCCCAAGGGCAAAAACAAGGUGUAAUUUAUAUAUGUUCACCCAAUGCCUAGCCCGGCACUCAUUGGCAUUCCAUAAAUACUUCAUGAAUGAAAAAAGAAAAACAAUCUCUUUAUUUUGUUCUAUCCUGCUCUUGCUACCCGUUGGUGGAGAUGAGUCUGACAAAAGGUAGAAGUCAAGUUAAUACCAUCUCUGUUAUUACUAAGGAGAGGAAAAAAGUUGUUUUAAAACAUCACCGCUAGGAUCCUUAAAAUCUUCUGCAUACAGCAGAGGGUAAAUAGAAGAGGCAAAGUUAGUCAUAAAAAUAUGUCUAUAGAAAUGACAAAUGUCUAUUUCUCCAGACAAAUUUUCAUAAAGAUGGCAAUUGAGGCUAUAUAUGCAAUAAAUGAUGCAGUAGGAUAAAUAUAUUUUAGAGUAAGCAAAUAUACUGUUGCUUACAUAAAUAGAUUUGUUUGGUGGAAAAAAAUAUCAAUGAAACAGCUCCAUUAAAAUGUGAAAUUUCACAAGUACUUUUGGCUUUACUGUAAAGUGAUCCAUAUUCCAUAAGAUCUUUUUGUAAACAGCAGUUAUUGAAGGCUGAGGAUUUAAGUGGAAGAGAUCAUGGUGGCCCAGUUGGCCAGAGCAUGUAGUUGGGAAACCUGAAUGUGGUAGGAAAAAGAAAAAAAAAAUGGUUAAAGAGAGAUUAAGAUGCUUUCAAAGUCUCCUUCGAGAUGAUAAUUGCAGAAGGAUUAAAACACUCACACAAUUGAACAAUUACAUAAAACUACAUAGAUCUUGGUACCACUGAGGAAAGACAGUCAGAGUUAGCACGAUUUCUAAUUGUAAAUUACAUUCUACUUUGGAGGGUACGGAUCACUUGCAUUUCAUAUAUAUCUAGUGAAAGUUAGUGUUCUCUGGGGUUAUGAAAUAAUUCAACCCUGUAAAAAUAAUUCUGCUUUAGCCCUGAGACUACUUAUAGGAGUGACGUGUAGACGGCACUGUCCUGGCAUCUACAUUUAGGUCUGUGGUAUGUAGUGUGCAUGGAGUCUACACACGUGAGGAAGAUGCCAGUUGAUUUUGUAGUGCCAUUGUGGUCAGGAUAGAGCUUCACAGAUUCUUCAUCCUACAGGACAAUCUACAAGCAUAUAUACUUAGAUGAGAAAAUCAAAUACUCUGAGUUAGCCUUUGCUAGUCUCCAUUUCUUCUAUUAGCACUAUGUCAGCAAAACAUAGUCCUCACUGCUCAAAGAUUGAAUAAUGAAGAAUGUUUGGAAGGGUCUUUAUGUAUAUAGGGUAUAGCAGAUUUGAAAAUGUGGUAUGCUACAGAACCUAAGGGCUCCUCUGAAAUCAAGCAAUGCUAGUUAGCUAGAGGUGACCAUUUCACUUAUGUUAAUGCAUCCUAAACUUCUUGGAGAAUAGCUUGAUGUUAAAAAAUGUGAAACUUGCAAAUUUGAAUUAACUAUCUUCACCAGGUCUUUAGUGAGUGAAUGGAAGGGAAGAAUUCUGUUUGGUAUUUUUCUUCUUUCAUGCAGUUUUUUUUUCAUUUUUUCCUGAUUUAAUUUUUGUUUUAAAGCUGAGUUAAGAUGGUUUAGGCUCUUUCAUUGAACCGGGUACUAUUUUAAACUUUUAUUUCAAUUUCUUUAUGCUGCAGCAACAUAUAUGUGUGCGUGUGUGUAUAUAUAUAUAUGUGUGUGUGUGUGUGUGUGUGUAUAUAUACUC
rnacentral:lncRNA from 10 species